CCUGCACAUUCUUAAAGCUCAGUGCUACGGUCAGUUGCUGGCCAGUGAACUCUUGAGUGUCGGAAAUGUGCUACAGUAAAAUUGGCAGGUAUUUCGCUAACACCACAAGAGUCCACGACUUGAUGAGUGGGGUUUGAUAGUACUUCCUGCCACAGAG